rnacentral:misc_RNA from 1 species
AAGUCGUAACAAGGUCUCCGUUGGUGAACCAGCGGAGGGAUCAUUAAAGAGUAUAACAACUCCCAAACCCAUGUGAACAUACCUCAUGUUGCCUCGGCAGGCCUCGCCUCUCUCGUAGGCCUUACCCUGUAAGGCAUACCCGGGAGGCGCGGGCACCCCUGCCGGCGGCCCACGAAACUCUGUCUCAUCGUUGAGUUCUGAACCCAUAACUAAAUAAGUUAAAACUUUCAACAACGGAUCUCUUGGUUCUG